rnacentral:rRNA from 1 species
GAGUUUGAUCCUGGCUCAGGACGAACGCUGGCGGUGUGCUUAAUACAUGCAAGUCGAACGGACCCUUCGGGGUUAGUGGCGGACGGCUGAGUAACACGUAGGUAAUCUGCCCUUUUCUGGGGGAUAACAGCGGGAAACCGCUGCUAAUACCGCAUAAGCCCGAGGUUGCAAUACCUUUGGUUAAAGAUUUAUCGGAAAAGGAUGAGCCUGCGUCUGAUUAGCUUGUUGGUAGGGUAAAGGCCUACCAAGGCGAUGAUCAGUAGUUGGUCUGAGAGGAUGACCAGCCAGAGUGGGACUGAGACACGGCCCACACUUCUACGGAAGGCAGCAGUAGGGAAUUUUGCGCAAUGGGCGAAAGCCUGACGCAGCAACACCGCGUGGAGGAUGAAGGUUCUCGGAUUGUAAACUCCUGUCAGCAGGGAUAAUUUUGACUGUACCUGCAGAGGAAGCAUCGGCUAACUACGUGCCAGCAGCCGCGGUAAG